rnacentral:rRNA from 1 species
UACGUAGGGGGCUAGCGUUGUCCGGAAUCAUUGGGCGUAAAGAGCGUGUAGGCGGUUUGUCGCGUCGGCCGUGAAAACUUGGGGCUUAACCCCAAGCCUGCGGUCGAUACGGGCAGACUUGAGUUCGGCAGGGGAGACUGGAAUUCCUGGUGUAGCGGUGAAAUGCGCAGAUAUCAGGAGGAACACCGGUGGCGAAGGCGGGUCUCUGGGCCGGUACUGACGCUGAGGUGCGAAAGCGUGGGGAGCGAACAGG